CCUACGGGAGGCAGCAGUGGGGAAUAUUGGGCAAUGGAGGCAACUCUGACCCAGCAAUGCCGCGUGAGUGAUGAAGGUAAUUUUAUUGUAAAGCUCUUUUCUUUGGAACGAAUAAAUGACGGUACCAAAGGAAUAAGCCCCGGCUAACUACGUGCCAGCAGCCGCGGUAAUACGUAGGGGGCAAGCGUUGUUCGGAAUGACUGGGCGUAAAGGGUGUGUAGGUGGUUUGAUAAGUUAGAUGUGUAAUACCCAGGGCUUAACUCGGGAACUGCCUCUAAUACUGUUGAUCUAGAGAGUAGAUGCGGUAGGCGGAAUGUAUGGUGUAGCGGUGAAAUGCUUAGAGAUCAUACAGAACACCGAUUGCGAAGGCAGCUUACCAAUCUAUAUCUGACGUUGAGGCACGAAAGCGUGGGGAGCAAACAGGAUUAGAUACCCGAGUAGUC
rnacentral:rRNA from 1 species